CUGGUGCCCACUUUCCUGGCCCUGCCUGCCAGUGUUCCUACCUGCAGCCAUCCACUCCAGUUUGCUGUUUGCCACUCAUCUGGCCCCAGAAUUGCUGCCCCGCACUUCCAACUGCUGCCUGCCUGUUUCUGCACCCCAGACCUGUAUGCACGACCCCAGCUGGCUCAUCACCCAGGCUGCUGGUAGCAGACCCAGUUUCUUCAGGAUCAAAAACUGGCUGUGGAUCAUGGCCAGAUAUGAAGAAGAAAUGGAUCUCAUUUUUGGACAAGACAUACACAAGAGCUAUUGCACAGGGCCAAAGAAAAACCAAUCCAGGAUGGAUUGAUGCACUUCCAAGCCAAUGCAAAGGUCUUGAACCUAGUGUGAAGACUCCAGAAGAAUUUUAGGUAAAGAAAGAUGAGACCUCUCUGAAUCCAGAAACUGAACUGUUUGAGAAAACACCAUAAAGAAGCCUCCAGACCACAAGCUGCACAAGAAGAUCAAGAAUGAACUUUGGGUGUA
rnacentral:lncRNA from 1 species